AACAGAGAAUGUAUAUAUAAACGGGCGAGUUGACAGCCGUAUAACGGUCCCCGUAUUGACGUUACCAAGUAAUCCCAAAUAUCAAUACAACCUCUGUUCGACUCACACACAUUAAUCUCAGGCUAGCAUACGGGGGGCUCGAUAGCAGUGAUAUAUGGAGCAGUGAAUUUGGCGACAAUUUAUUGCAGUUUAGUAAGUGACAAUACUAAGGAAUUGAUAGAGGAGGCGAAAAGAGUGCAGAGAGAACGUCGAGAGAAGAGGAAAGCGAAACAACAGGAGGUAGCCAAACCACCUCAGUCUCGAGGUCCCCCAUCACGAACAGCGUCUGCCGCCAGCUUCCCGCCUCCACCACCAUCAGCCCCAGCGUCCAUCAUGUCCACGAAAAGUGUCCGCACUAAGGAGCUUCUGGUAAAGGUCAAAGAAAACGUUAUCAACAACUGGGAAGGGCUCAAAUCUGUUUUUAAAUUCAUCGAUCGCAAUGGAUUCGCUAACAUCACCAUGAAGGAAAUGCUGG